rnacentral:rRNA from 1 species
UUGUCCACUAUCGGUCUCUCGUUAAUAUUUAGCCUUAGGAGGAGUCUACCUCCCGCUUAGGGCAGCAAUCCCAAACUACCCGACUCUUAGAACGCGCUCUAUCGAUCAGCAGCCUCUGGCACGGGACUAUCACCCUCUCUGGUCUCCUGUUCCAAGGAAGUUACAGAGGCCGCCUUCCGCAAGAGCUACGUCUUCACUGUACAACUCGCCGAAGCGAUUUUCAGUGUGGGCUGUUGCCGCUUCACUCGCCGUUACUGGGGCAAUCCUGGUUAGUUUCUUUUCCUCCGCUUAAUGAUAUGCUUAAGUCCAGCGGGUAGCCUUGCUUAAGUUCAGGCACAGGUUGAAGCAGUAUCGUACUCGUGCGAUACAACUAGGAAGUCGCUUGCCAAGAGGAAACCACUUGGAGUUGAAAGCGAAACAGGCCCUGAACUAAGCAUACCAACAAGUUGGUGCUAGUUGCGUUCGAAAAUCAACUGACUCACAGAGUCUGCAAUUCGCAGUGCUUUUCGCAGUUAGCUGCGUUCUUCAUCGGUACGAGAGCCGAGAUAUCCACCGUUAAGGUUCUAAAAAUGAUGUGUUUUAUUAAGAUAAAUAUCCAAUAAUGAUCCUUCUGCAGGUUCACCUACAGAAACCUUGUUACGACUUCUCCUUCCUCUAAGUGGUAAGGUUUACACAACUUCCCGGGUAAGCGGUCCGAAGGGUUCACCUCACCACUCAAUCGGUAGGAGCGACGGGCGGUGUGUACAAAGGGCAGGGACGUAAUCAAUGCAAGCUGAUGACUUGCGUUUACUAGGUAUUCCUCGUUUAUGACCAAGAAUUCCAAGAGUCAAUCCCCAUCACGAUGCAGUUUGAAGGUUCCCAUGACAUGUCUGACAUGGAACUUACUGCCUGCAUCAGUGUAGCGCGCGUGCGGCCCAGGACAUCUAAGGGCAUCACAGACCUGUUAUUGCCUCAAACUUCCUUGGAGUAACCCCCAAAGUCCCUCUAAGAAGUCCCGAUCCUAAGCAGGAACGAACUAGUUAGCAGGCUGAGGUCUCGUUCGUUAUCGGAAUUAACCAGACAAAUCACUCCACCAACUAAGAACGGCCAUGCACCACCACCCAUAGAAUCAAGAAAGAGCUGUCAGUCUGUCAAUCCUUGCCAUGUCUGGCCCUGGUAAGUUUCCCCGUGUUGGGUCAAAUUAAGCCGCAGGCUCCACACCUGGUGGUGCCCUUCCGUCAAUUCCUUUAAGUUUCAGUCUUGCGACCAUACUCCCCCCAGAACCCAAAGACUUUGAUUUCUCGGAAGAUCCUGAAUGGGUCUUGAAUUCCCCAUCCAAUCUCUAGUCGGCAUAGUUUAUGGUUAAGACUACGACGGUAUCUGAUCGUCUUUGAUCCCUUAACUUUCGUUCUUGAUUAAUGAAAACAUCCUUGGCAAAUGCUUUCGCAUAGGUUCGUCUUUAAUAAAUCAUAGAAUUUCACCUCUGACAAUUAAAUACGAAUGCCCCCAACUAUCCCUAUUAAUCAUUACUAAGGGCCACGCACCAACAGUGGCUCUUCGUCCUUUUCUAUUAUUCCAUGCUGGACUAUUCAGGCUGGCGCCUGCCUGGAACACUCUAAUUUGCUCAAGGUAAAGUGUCUGAAGAAUCAGACGGAUGUACGGCUUGUGUCUCCGUGGAGACUCAAUCCGUACAGAACUUCAACUACGAGCUUUUUAACUGCAACAACUUUAAUAUACGCUACUGGAGCUGGUAUUACCGCGGCUGCUGGCACCAGACUUGCCCUCCAGUGGAUCCUCGAUAAGGCUUUUACAUUGUCCUCAUUCCAAUCACGAGACUUUGCCCCGCGUUGUUAUUUCUUGUCACUACCUCCCUGAGUUAGGAUUGGGUAAUUUGCGCGCCUGCUGCCUUCCUUAGAUGUGGUAGCCGUUUCUCAGGCUCCCUCUCCGGAAUCGAACCCUAAUUCUCCGUCACCCGUCAUUGCCAUGGUAGUCCAAUACACUACCAUCAAGCUGAUAGGGCAGAAACUUCAAUGCUGCACUUCAAACGAAGUCCGCUCAGAUAUUAUGACUCCUCGCCCGUUGGCUUUAUCUAAUAUAUACUACGCACUGCGCAACCAGCAUGUAUUAGCUCUAGAAUUACUACGGUUAUCCAUAUAAACGUUCAGCAAAUAAACUAUAACUGAUUUAAUGAGCCAUUCGCAGUCUCACUGUAUAAAAGCUUAUACUUAGACAUGCAUGGCUUAAUCUUUAAGACAAGCAUAUGACUACUGGCAGGAUCAACCAGAUUACUAUGUAAAUUAAAUUUCUUACGAAAUAUAAUCACCUAUCCAAACAAAAAUUAGCCUACAUAACACUGCGUACAGUGCUAUUUCAGCUACAAACCAGCCCUAUAGAAGGUAUCUGGCAAUCAUUUUGACCAAGUUUUGGCACAAAAUAGGUACAACAACUUUUCCGCAAAAACAGCCCUGGCCUAGCACCUGGACUCGGAAAGUCAUAAAAAGAUUCCGGCUACUCGCCAAAGAGGCCCAGACGGUAUAUAAAAUGC